GUGCUCGUUUCGGCAACACAUAGACUAAAAUUGGAAUGAUACAGAGGAGAUUAGCAAGGCCUCUGCAUAAGGAUGACAUGCAAAUUCAUGAAGUGUUCCAUAUUUAG
rnacentral:snRNA from 1 species